rnacentral:rRNA from 1 species
AGAGUUUGAUCAUGGCUCANAAUNAACUUUNGGCCNCCAUGGAUUAGCCAUNCAANUCGAGCGCGAUUGACGAUGAAAGCUUUGCUUUUAGCNUCAUNAAAGCGGCGAAAGGGAGAGUAACGCGUAGUUUNCAUCCCNUCGGUUCCGGAAUAGCUGCGGAAAACUCCAGGUANUNCCGGAUAAUNUUUACGGAUCAAAGGUGUGAUUCCCCCCGAGGAGUGGACUGCNUCNUACUAGCUAGUNGGUGGGGUAAUGNCCUACCAAGGCGACGAUGGUUAGCGGNCGUGAGAGCGUGCCCCNUCUCACUGGGACUGAGACACUGCCCCAGACACCUACGGGUGGCUGCAGUCGAGAAUCUUCGGCAAUGGACGAAAGUCUGACCGAGCGAUGCCGCGUGCGGGAUGAAGGCCCUCGGGUUGUAAACCGCUGUCGUAGAGGAGAAAGGCUCUGUGAAGAGCAGAGUUUGAUCUAUUCUAGGAGGAAGUCCGGGCUAAGUUCGUGCCAGCAGCCGCGGUAAUACGAACCGGACAAACGUUAUUCGGAAUUAUUGGGCUUAAAGGGUACGUAGGCGGCCUUGUAAGUCGGGUGUGAAAGCCCACGGCUCAACCGUGGAAUUGCGCCCGAUACUGCAUGGCUUGAGGGAGACAGGGGUGAGCGGAACUGAUGGUGGAGCGGUGAAAUGCGUUGAUAUCAUCAGGAACACCGGUGGCGAAAGCGGCUCGCUGGGUCUCUUCUGACGCUGAGGUACGAAAGCUAGGGUAGCGAACGGGAUUAGAUACCCCGGUAGUCCUAGCCGUAAACGCUGAGCACUUGUCUGGGGGCCCUCCCAUAGGUUCCCGGAACGAAGCGAAAGUGAUAAGUGUCCGCCUGGAGA